rnacentral:tRNA from 1 species
GUUUUAAAUAGUUUAAAAAAAAACAUUAAUUUUGUAAAUUAAAAAUAAUUUUUAGUAAAAUUUUAAAAUA